UUCCAUUUGUAGUCGUCGCGGGACU
rnacentral:piRNA from 1 species